rfam:Hordeum vulgare subsp. vulgare, WGS project CAJW01000000 data, contig: morex_contig_279441
CUUAUACUCCAUCCGUCUCAAAAUUCUUGUCUUAGGUUUGUUUCGAAAUGGAUGUAUCUAAAUAAUAAAAUAUGAUUAAAUACAUUCAUAUCUAGACAAUCUAAGACAAGAAUUUUGAAACGGAUGAAGUAUUUA